CAGAUCCGGGCUGGGGCUCGUGCACCCUGGGAGUGUUCAUCGGUUUGGAAUGUUCUGGGUCAAGUCUGUGAGCCUGUCCCACUGGGAGGAGCACAAGCUGCAGAUGACACCCUCCAUUUAAUAAACCGAAAAACACACCUGAACAGUUCAUGGCUGAGAACGUAAUGAGGCGAUGAAGGGUAAAUACGAGUCGGCCGUUCCAGUCUACUACUACGAACCCACCCACAGAGACUGCCAGUCAGUUACCGUAGCAACGCAUACACAGUACAGUCGCUAAGGAGCCAAAAGCAGUGAUUAAGGUGGACACCAUCACGACGCGACCUUCCAGCCUGAGAAGAUGGUAAACCGAACGG